AAGGCGGGGAUGGCCGAAGGCGGGGAGAGGCGGAAGUGUGGCGCUGUUCCGGGAGGUGGGCUGGGUGGAAGCGAUGGGAGGGCGCCAGCCGAGGGCCAGGCGCUGUAGGAAGACCGCCUGUGCCUGUGCCGGAGACGCACGAGAUAAGAUGGUUCCACGUCGUUGGGAGACGGGGAGCGCUCCUUUGUUCUCCCAGACAACGUAGAUGGCAGGGAGCUUCUAGCUUUCUGCAGCGUGAGCCAAAAAAAAAGUUGAAAAAGACGAAUGACGCAGUCCAGAGUGAACGCACUGUAGCCAGCAUGAUGCACAUUUUUAGGGAGAACCCAACUAUACAAAGUGCUUGUGUUUUCCGAAUGUGGCUCUUCCAAGUGUCACGAAGCAGCCUUAAGAAAACGAGCUCCAAAGAGGAGUAUGAAGGAGAAGUUACAUGUACAGAUGUGAGUGACUUGAAAAAAAUAGCCUUAUCAUCAGAAAAUCUCACCCUAGGAAAAAUUGUGAUGUCACUGAGUCACUGAAGUUGAACCGAAGACUUUCUUCUUGGACUCUAUCAUCUGAAGAUAAAUGAUGUCCAAAGGGACUAUAUAGAUGGCACUUCCUAAACUACAUGCCUAGGAAAGAACAAGAUUGCCAACAUUGUUCAGUGGAUGAAGGAACCCGCUGCCACCAGGCUUGAUGACCUAAGUUUGCUCCCCAGCUCCUACAUGGCAGAAGGAUAUCCACCUUGGAUGGAGACAACAGAUUUGCAAGAUGGAUAAAGAGAGAAAGAAAGAAGCUGUAGAAACAAACCUGGAGAGAAAAUUGACCUUCUGGCAACAUACUGUUACCCUUGGGAAGGGCACAUGAGUGUGUUGCAAAUGGAGUUCCUUAGAUGUCAAGGACCUUUAGAGAAUCCCAUCCAUUUGGCAAGUACCUGUGGGUACAAUACUGCAAACUCCUCCACUGAUCUUAGGGAGCUCAUGGGUUUCAUACUUCUUUAACUUUUGCUAUGUUUAAUCCUGUAGUAACUCUUAGUUUUGCCUUGUUAGUUUGCCUGAGCUUACUGGGAACAAACGUCUUCAUAGAAAAAUUACAUUUCUCUGAUCUGUUACCGAAGCCAGUUCCUCCAGUUAUUCCUGGCUGCCUUUGCAGUGAUCCUGAAUAAACAGGAGGAAAUCACUAAGGUUAAUGAUUAUUUCUUAUUCAGUUCCAAAAAAAGAUAAAAUAUAUUCCAAAGAACUUAGGGACCAAGAAAAUUGUUUCUUAAAAGAGGACAUUAAAAACCUUAUAGUGGGAUUGGCAUGUGAAGCAACCUUGUUUCUAAUUUAAAUUUAAAAAUAAAAAUUAAAAACAUACUUAUAGCAACACAGAAGGAAAUAAAAGGAUAGGACAUGAAAGGUCAGACAUUUCUCUGGCACUAGGAUAUAUCAAAGUAUCAGUAAAGGAAUCUAAAACUCCUAGUUCCUCUUAAAGAAAAGCACAUUUAGAAAUUACCAGGAAGAACAAGGAAACUUAGUCUUAAGAGUUAAAGAGUUAGGGAUUAGUCAUCAUUAUUUUGAGAACUCAUAAAGAAUAAGGCUAUAACUGCAAUCUAUGUAAUGAAGGCAGUAAUAAAUGUGACCUACAGAUUACUGGAAAACUGCUAUACACCUGAAAAUGAUAACUUUAGGCAUCACAAUGUAUUCAGCUAAUUUCAUAUUGUCAAGCUUAACCACAGGGCUCAAAUCUCUUACUUUGUAACCAUGUUUGCUGCCAGCUAAGGCACAGUGUGAAUAAGAUAUUUUUAGCUAGAUAUAAACAGUUGGCUUGCUCUCUAAUGAUAUGAGGUAAAGGUCAAUGACAUCAAGGAAGUGGGAAAUAAGAAGAAAAACUAAAAUGUUAAUGAUUCUUGGAGAAUGAUUAAAGAGAAAUGAUUUGAAACUGCUCAUGCAUGAAUGCAUUAGAACUUGUAUAAAGAUGGCCUGAGCUAGUUGGGGCCAUCAGUUUGAAAGACAACUGGUGGUCAAGACCCCUCAUUCGUGGACUUCAUACCUCCUUCCUGCAGCACAAAACACUGCUGGAGCUGAACUCUGGCAACCCUAUUGAGAAGGUUUCAACCUAUGGAAUAGACAAGAUUUGAUAAGCAUGUAGUUGGAAGUUGUCACAGUUCUACAGGAACUAGUAGUUUUAACAUUAGUGCUUUAGUUCAUGGAACUCUUUGGGGGUGAACACGGAACAUUAACGCUCCCUGGCAUACAAUCAGAGAAGAACCAGCUUCACACAAUAGGUUUGAAUGGACAAUCAGUUUCUGCUAGCACAAUGAGCUACUGAACUCUGAAGUCUGAGUCCAGUUUACUCCUACAUAUAGACUUCACCUCAGUGUAGUCUGUAGAAUAAAGGACCCUUGUAUGCCUAGGAUAGUUCAUUAGCUCAGAAUCUAUUUACCUGAGUGCUGUCAUUCUGGCCUUGUUCUGUUUGGCUUGCUUUGAUGGCCAACCUUUUUAAAUCCUUGAUCAUCAUUCCUCAUCAUGUUUUCCAACUGAGUUGAGUUUCCAUUUAACCCAUAACAUAUCAAUCUGGAAUCCAACUAUUCUUUCUGGGCUCAGAGAGCUGGUUGCCUUGGCUGGAGAUUCACCAUAACCUGCCAACAUCUACCUGCCAGUCAACCCUCUUCUCAGCUCGUGCCCAGGAUUUCUCAGAAUGAGCUCAGCUCACCAUAUACAUCCUACUUGCUCUUCUCAGACUUCCCUCAUGCAGAGCUCCUGCCCAACUUUAUCCCCAGUCCUCGCUCAGUUCUCCAGAGCUCCGUUGAGAGAGCCUUCUUUCAUUUGAUAGUUUUGCUACAGAGUAAACAAAACCCCAGUCAUUGGGUCUGCCACAGGCCCAAGAUCCUUCAGUCUCUGGUGAUUUUGUUAUGGUCAUUCAUGACAGUUCCUCAAUUUAAGAGCAUGCAUUCAUUAGUCCUCUGGUCUAAGUGUUUUGAGGUUAUAUGGAGACAUCCUGCUAAUAUAUGUUGUAAUGGAUUAACAAAGAUUUCUCUUCCACUAA